rnacentral:rRNA from 1 species
AUUGAACGCUGGCGGCAGGCCUAACACAUGCAAGUCGAACGAGUGGCGGACGGGUGGGUUAUGUCUGGGAAACUGCCUGAGGGAGGGGGAUAGCUACUGGAAACGGUAGCUAAUACCGCAUACCAUCAGAUGUGCCCAGAUGGGAUUAGCGUGGUGGUGGGGUAAAGGCUCACCAAGGCGACGAUCCCUAGCUGGUCUGAGAGGAUGACCAGACACACUGGAACUGAGACACGGUCCAGACUCCUACGGGAGGCAGCAGUGGGGAAUAUUGCACAAUGGGCGAAAGCCUGAUGCAGCCAUGCCGCGUGUAUGAAGAAGGCCUUCGGGUUGUAAAGUACUUUAAGCGGGGAGGCGUUACCCGCAGAAGAAGCACCGGCUAACUCCGUGCCAGCAGCCGCGGUAAUAC